UACGGAGGGUGCGAGCGUUGUCCGGAAUCAUUGGGCGUAAAGGGCGCGUAGGUGGCCCGGUCAGUCAGUGGUGAAAGCGCGGGGCUCAACUCCGCGUCGGCCAUUGAUACUGCUGGGCUGGAGCACUGUAGAGGCAGGCGGAAUUCCGGGUGUAGCGGUGGAAUGCGUAGAGAUCCGGAAGAACACCGGUGGCGAAGGCGGAUCUCUGGGCCAUUACUGACGCUGAGGAGCGAAAGCGUGGGGAGCGAACAGG
rnacentral:rRNA from 1 species